UGGGGAAUAUUGGACAAUGGGCGCAAGCCUGAUCCAGCCAUGCCGCGUGAGUGAUGAAGGCCUUAGGGUUGUAAAGCUCUUUCGCCAGGGACGAUAAUGACGGUACCUGGAUAAGAAGCCCCGGCUAACUUCGUGCCAGCAGCCGCGGUAAUACGAAGGGGGCUAGCGUUGUUCGGAAUUACUGGGCGUAAAGCGUAUGCAGGCGGACUUUUAAGUCGGGGGUGAAAUCCCGAGGCUCAACCUCGGAACUGCCUUCGAUACUGGAAGUCUUGAGUCCGGGAGAGGUGAGUGGAACUCCGAGUGUAGAGGUGAAAUUCGUAGAUAUUCGGAAGAACACCAGUGGCGAAGGCGGCUCACUGGCCCGGUACUGACGCUGAGAUACGAAAGCGUGGGGAGCAAACAGGAUUAGAUACCCCCGUAGUCC
rnacentral:rRNA from 1 species